rnacentral:rRNA from 1 species
AUACGUAGGUGGCAAGCGUUGUCCGGAAUUAUUGGGCAUAAAGCGCGCGCAGGCGGUCCUUUAAGUCUGAUGUGAAAGCCCACGGCUCAACCGUGGAGGGUCCUUGGAAACUGGGGGACUUGAGUGAAGAAGAGGACAGGGGAAUUCCAAGUGUAGCGGUGAAAUGCGUAGAGAUUUGGAGGAACACCAGUGGCGAAGGCGACUUUCUGGUCUGUAACUGACGCUGAGGCGCGAAAGCGUGGGGAGCAAACAGGAUUAGAUACCCUGGUAGUCCACGCCGUAAACGAUGAGUGCUAAGUGUUAGGGGGUUUCCGCCCCUUAGUGCUGCAGCUAACGCAUUAAGCACUCCGCCUGGGGAGUACGGUCGCAAGACUGAAACUCAAAUGAAUUGGCGGGG